AUGACCAGGGAUCCAACUGGGCAGACAUACACUCAAUACAGGACUGUAAGCAUACUGAGCCUAACCAGUCAGCAGAAGUGGGAUUGGACCAUCAUCAGCCUGGUCAUAAGUCAGAUAUUUACAGAUUUGUGCGCUCAAAAAUACAGACCUCUACCUGCUGAGCUGAAGCAGCGGCUCCGUCCUCUCAGCAUGUUAGCUGCUGUACACGUGAACAGGCUUCAGAGUGCCGGUGUUCCAACAAAAGCUCCCGAAAUGCAACAUUUAAAGUAUUUUCCAGCCAGAUCUAGUAAAGGAUUGUCUCAAACCUCAGCCCUUUCUCGGAACCAAACACCAGAGGAAGCCCCGCUCUUGCCGUCCCUACAACCGUCCAAUACAUUGCUGGUUUCCACCGACAUGCUUCUGACAAGAUUUCUUUUCAUUUUCCAACCAGCUCCCAUCCUUAUAAGAGCUGUUUUGCUUCUCUUAAAUAUUUAUUUUGAAACCAGGAAUGGUCAGCGAUUACUGCCAAUGAAAGAUGGCUACUUGGUGGGCUACUUUAGAGGAAAAUCCCACUCCUGUAGGAAAGUUAUCCACAGCCAUGUGGUCCUGGAGCUGGCAGUCUCAGCAGAGAAGUUCAGGACUAAAUGGCAUAAAGAGCGAACUACCCCAUCACUCCUAGAGCUUGUCCCUCCAGAGCAGUGGUGAGCUACAGCUGUGCAAUGGGGGAGAACUGAUUUGAAAUAAUAUAUCGUGCACUACAAAUGCUCUAAAGCAAAUGUUUCC
rnacentral:lncRNA from 1 species